rnacentral:miRNA from 1 species
AUAAUCAAUUUGACUGAAAAU